GCCUCGGUAGCGCAGUAGGCCAGCGCCGUCAGUCUCAUAAUCUGAAGGCGUGAGUUCGAGCCUCACCCGGGGCA
rnacentral:tRNA from 1 species